rnacentral:tRNA from 1 species
AACAGGUUAGUUCAGUUGGUAGAGCGCUCCUUCUGCAAUAGAGAAGUCCCGGGUUCGAUACCCGGACCAGGCG